GUUGGGUUCAACGGCAGCGUGGUGCAGGCCAGCAAUUUACAGCACAAAUCGCAAGGAUUAUAAAAUCAGCAGGAAUUAUACAAUGAGGCUUAAGUGAAAGUUAAACCGUGUCAGACAAGUCAGUUUGUUUGCUGCCCGCCGAAUAUCGUUGGCAAGCAGGUUGCAUGACUGUGGGUAG